rnacentral:rRNA from 1 species
AACGAACGCUGGCGGCAGGCCUAACACAUGCAAGUCGAACGCCGUAGCAAUACGGAGUGGCAGACGGGUGAGUAACGCGUGGGAACAUACCCCUCGGUUCGGAAUAACUCAGGGAAACUUGAGCUAAUACCGGAUACGUCCGAGGUUUUAAUCGGCCUUGGAGAAAGAUUUAUCGCCGGAGGAUUGGCCCGCGUCUGAUUAGCUUGUUGGUGAGGUAAUGGCUCACCAAGGCGACGANCAGUAGCUGGUCUGAGAGGAUGAUCAGCCACAUUGGGACUGAGACACGGCCCAAACUCCUACGGGAGGCAGCAGUGGGGAAUAUUGGACAAUGGGCGAAAGCCUGAUCCAGCCAUGCCGCGUGAGUGAUGAAGGCCUUAGGGUUGUAAAGCUCUUUACCCGGGAAGAUAAUGACGGUACCGGAGAAUAAGCCCCGGCUAACUUCGUGCCAGCAGCCGCGGU